GUACUGAACAAGGGUCUCAGUGUAGCCUAGCCAGUUGGCUCUGUACCAAAUCUCACCUGUCCUCUGUUCUGUACAACCUCACCUGCAUCUCUCUCUCUCUCUCUCUCUCUCUCUCACACACACACACACACACACACACACACACACACACACACACACAGUUCUGACUCGUUUUCUUUUGUUGUCCUUCCCUUUUGGUCCCUCUUCUCUCUUCCCUUUUGUCUUCUUCCUUCUUCUCUCUACUUUCUCAAAUAUUCUCUUUUGGGUACCUCUCUUUGCUUUUCCAGCUUAGGCAACCACCUACCUUCUUUUUCGUUUAAAGGGGGAUCCAUUCUUCCGUGUUUUUCUCCUUAGAUUCUUUCUUUCCUCAUCACACCAUCUCAAUUCAAUUUUACUUUUGUUGUUUUUUGACAGCCACCUCACUGAUUCACACACACUCCUUAUUCUUUGUUCCAUGUUUUCAUCUCUUUUUCAAUAGAGAUGGGCCAUGUUGAUGAUCAUGAUCAUGAUGAUGGUGUUUGUCACUACCCAGAUUGACACGGCUUGGAUAGAAGUUUAGUGGGGAACUCUAUUGAAAUUUGGUUCAACAUUUCACUCCUUCUCCAACACCCUCAGAUUGUGCUGGCGUUCAAAGUUGGAUCUUGGUUUUACCACACAUGUGCACGAGUUCUCUUCAUUGGUGUUGAUCCUCUCUUGUUGUGAUUGUCAAGGUUGAUGGGUAGUGGUGGCGCUCUCAGAUCCUUGCCUUGCAAAUGCGUGUGUCUGCUUGCGGCUGUUUUGAUCCUUAGAGCUUUGUUGCUUCUUCCAUACCCUGGCUUUGGUGGGCUUGAAUGGAGCAACCUUGUGUGUAUCAUGAACCAUUCUCCAUCUUUUGGUGCUUUUGGGAUUCGGCAAGACAAGUUUUUGGAGGUUCCUCAGAUUGUGUGGGGAUUAAACAACCAAAAGAUUGCAUUUGCAAGGGCUUGUCUUACUGCUAGAAUGUUGAACCGAACUCUAUUGAUGCCUAGUCUCAGUGCCUCCUUGUUUUACAAAGAAAUUGACCUCUUGCAACCGAUUUCCUUCGACAAGGUGUUCCAAUUUGACAAGUUUAAUGCACUCUGCAGUGGUUUUGUUCAAUUGGGUCGCUAUUCUCAUCUCUUGAACCAAACACAAGUGCUUGAAAUCCAGAAAGGGAGUGGUAGGAAGUGGACAGUGGAGAGGGAUUUGGAUCAAUUGAGACAGCAUAGCAAAGACCCUUUUGAUGACCAUGAGGUGAUUCGGAUCACAGGGAAAAACCCCUUCUUGUGGCAUGAUCAUUGGCCUGUGAAGGACUACGCAAAGGUAUUUGAGUGCUUAGUUUUGGUAGAUGAGAUUUCUCAAGAAGCUGAUAGAGUUGUGUCUAGGAUUAGAGAAUCAGUGGAAUUGGAGAAUGAUGGGUCUUCAUUUCAGCCUCUUCCAUAUGUUGCUGUCCACAUGAGGGUGGAAAUUGAUUGGAUGAUUCAUUGCAAAAAGCUGGAGCAGAGAUUAAACACAAAUCAAAUAUGUAGUAGCAAGAAAGAGAUAAUGGAAAGAGUAGGGAACAUUAUGGAUUUGAAGAGUCCAGUGGUUCUUUAUCUUGCAGUAGCUGAUAAACUCCUUCAAAAUUCUUCCAUACUAGAAGGUUGGAGAGAAGGUUUUCUACCUUUAGAGAAGAAGAAACUUGGUGUUGAUGGAAUUUAUAGCAAGUAUCCAUAUUUAAUUCAGUCUGCAAUUGACUAUGAAGUGUGCUUAAGAGCUGAUAUAUUUGUAGGGAAUAGUUUCUCUACAUUUUCAAGUCUUAUAGUGCUUGAAAGAACACAAAAGAUUAUCAGAAUGGGUGUCAAAAGCAUGUGUGGAAUGGAUGUAAGAUGGCCUUCUUAUGCUUAUAAUAUACCAGGAGAGUCAAAUGGCCCUAUGCGAUGGGUUACAAAUAUGUCUGAUUCAACCCUUCAAGCAAUCAGCUAUGGCACCAAUCACAUCUCUUGUUGACAGUGCCGUUUGCAAUUCCUACAGCAAUUCUAUGAUCUCCUUUCACUUCAUGAUUUUGAUUAGCACACUUAAUUCUUCUUAUAUAAUUUUUUAUGUAGAGAAUUCAACAAUGGAAUAUAUAUGUUUUCAGUAAAAUGAGUUCACAUGUGAGAAUUGGAAAGAUAUGGCCAAGUCUGCAAUAAUCUGCUAACUGAGUAACUCUGUCUAUUUGUUGUCCAAGGAGUCACCGCAGAAAUAUUUAUGAAGCAUUUAAGUCAGUCACAUUUUUUAAUAAGAAAAAAUAUAUUUUUUUUUGCAAAGAUAAGAAUUUGUCAUUGUUUCUUUCUCAUACUUCAUGUGAAUUGGUGAUGGGAUUAUGGGCCUGAUGUAAAGAUGGUCAUUUGAAGAAAGAUGAACUAAUUUGAUUAAAGUUGUGUUUCUUUCAAGCCUAAAGAGAAGCAGCAUUUCUUGUUUGGUUUGUUUUGGUUUCUUUGUUCGUUCCUUCUCUUUGUCUGUUCCUUAAUUUUCAGUUGAUGAGGUGUUGUGUCCAAAAUAGAGUCACAACACUUGCCUUUAAUGUGUUGGUCAUGGCCCACGAGACAGAUGAUAGUACAAUGAUUUGUCUCAUCACCCACCCUCACAUGCCACUGCUGGGGAAGAGUAAAUGUACAUCCAAUAUUGAGCCCUUUAAUUCACUUUCUAUUUUCUAUCACAUUAUUAACCAUUUUUUUUUCUUUUUCAAUUCUUCCUACUCUCACUUCUUUUACCCAUUCUACACCUAAGAAAGGGUGUUAACAUAAAAUUAUCCAUUUUUCUUAUUCAUUGGAGUCUGUGUUUUCCUUUGUUUCUUAUUCUCAGAUGAGGAAGUAACUGAGGAUGGGAUUUGUGUCUACUGAAACGUAGCUGUGAAUUAUUGGAGCCGCAAGGGUUAACGUUGAAUGCAUGCCAUGAACAAAAUUAAGGGAAUGAGGGCAUUAUUGUGAGGAUACAUACUAG